rnacentral:misc_RNA from 1 species
GUUUAUGAGCUGAUGGACACUGAUCUUCAUCAGAUAGUUCGUUCCAACCAACAGUUGACUGAUGAUCACUGUCGGUAUUUCCUAUACCAAAUAUUACGAGGACUCAAGUACAUUCACUCUGCCAAUGUCCUGCAUCGUGAUAUAAAACCCAGCAAUUUAUUUCUCAAUGCAAACUGUGACCUAAAAGUUGGAGAUUUUGGGCUUGCAAG